rnacentral:rRNA from 1 species
CCUACGGGAGGCUGCAGUGGGGAAUAUUGGACAAUGGGGGCAACCCUGAUCCAGCCAUGCCGCGUGUGUGAAGAAGGCCCUCGGGUUGUAAAGCACUUUCAGUGAGGAAGAACGCCUGGUGGUUAAUACCCAUCAGGAAAGACAUCACUCACAGAAGAAGCACCGGCUAACUCCGUGCCAGCAGCCGCGGUAAUACGGAGGGUGCGAGCGUUAAUCGGAAUUACUGGGCGUAAAGCGCGCGUAGGUGGCUUGAUAAGCCGGUUGUGAAAGCCCCGGGCUCAACCUGGGAACGGCAUCCGGAACUGUCAAGCUAGAGUGCAGGAGAGGAAGGUAGAAUUCCCGGUGUAGCGGUGAAAUGCGUAGAGAUCGGGAGGAAUACCAGUGGCGAAGGCGGCCUUCUGGACUGACACUGGCACUGAGGUGCGAAAGCGUGGGUAGCAAACAGGAUUAGAUACCCCGGUAGUC